rfam:Myotis davidii contig57307, whole genome shotgun sequence.
GGCGUUUCUCGGGUGAUGCACCAUGGAAUCAGGCUCCCUCCUCUCUGGUUCUGGGUGCAACACCCGAGAACAGCA